CACACACACACACACACAGACACUUAUAUCACUCGACAUCUUGUCCUAACGCUUUCGCUGGUUGUCCUGUGGACCGACAGUAAUCUCCGAGCGGGAACACUGAGGGACCUGAGCGCAGCGACACACAGCCUGAGGACCUGCAGCCUGGUUCGGUGUGACGCACAUUUCAUACUUCACAUUCCUCUGUCUGCUGACUGCUCCUUAAAAUUGGUCUUUUCUUUGUGCGGUGUCGCUUAGAGGAAUGGGUGUGAAGGUGCUCCUGUGCUUUCCCUUCUACAGGCGCUGCAAAGAGCGGUGCAAGGACAAAGAGUGUCCUCCUGAAACAGAACCUGCAGUACCGAAAGUGGAGCCAAAGCAACGUCUCUGCUCAACUACAUCAAUAUCAAGUGAGUGUGACAGUGUGGGCAGUCCUCAAGCAUAUUUUUCCCAGAAGGCUCGGCUCUCUUUUAGACACCAAAUGGAUAGCAACUUCAACGCAAUAGAUGCCACAUACUAACUUCUGUCCAUUGUCAAAUGAACUCUGACCCUUGUUGAGAUACAGCUGGGUGAAGUCAUGGAUGGCACAAACUGGACUUGCAAGAUGAUGGCCCUAAAUUCUGUUCAAUAUAGUCGUCUCAUGCUGGUAUGAAUGGAUGGGAAGACCGAAGAAGCAAGAAGAGAGUAUGGUGUGCAUUUAGGAAAAAAAUGUUUACAAGAUAACACAAAGUGCUUUGUAUGUUGUAUUUAUCACAUUAUUUUCUGAACCGGCUCCUUUUAAAUUCUCUGACACACAGAGAGUCACAGCUUGUAUGCUUAUAUCUGUUAAAGCAGUGCAAUAUGUAGGUAACAGUGGUGAUGGGCGGACAAUACCGAAGCUUGAUCCACCUUUGUAAAUCUUUUGUAAAAAUUUUUUUGAUACUCAGAGCUUGUCACAUGGCCAAUACCACGAGACCAAUGAAGUCUGAAGCUUCUGACGUCUCUAGUGUGUUGGUUUAAUAGCUUUGAAUGUUUUAGCGCUAAAAUGCCAUCCAUAUAAUUAUUUACUGAUACAAGACAACGUUGGGUUAUCUAAGAAUCAUGAGUAUUAAUAAUAAUAAUAAUAA